GCCUGGCUGGCUCAGUCGGUGGAGCAUGUGACUCUUGAUCUCAGGGUCGUGAGUUCAGGCCCCACGUUGGGCU
rnacentral:tRNA from 1 species